rnacentral:rRNA from 1 species
UACGUAGGGAGCAAGCGUUGUCCGGAAUCAUUGGGCGUAAAGCGCGUGUAGGCGGCCAUCUAAGUCGGGCGUGAAAUCCCACGGCUCAACCGUGGAAGUGCACUCGAAACUGGAUGGCUAGAGUCCUGGAGAGGAAGGUGGAAUGCUUGGUGUAGAGGUGAAAUUCGUAGAUAUCAAGCGGAACACCGGUGGCGAAGGCGGGUCUCUGGACAGUUCCUGACACUGAGGCACGAAGGCCAGGGGAGCAAACGGG